ACAAAGCAGUUUUUUUCUGCAUCGCUGGAAGCACUUGAAUUUCAUCCCAGACUCUUGUAAUACUUUCACAAGUAUUUGCUUCACCUCAAUUAA